AGCGAACGCUGGCGGCAGGCCUAACACAUGCAAGUCGAACGAACCUUUCGGGGUUAGUGGCGGACGGGUGAGUAACACGUGGGAACGUGCCUUUAGGUUCGGAAUAACUCAGGGAAACUUGUGCUAAUACCGAAUGUGCCCUUCGGGGGAAAGAUUAAUCGCCUUUAGAGCGGCCCGCGUCUGAUUAGCUAGUUGGUUGAGGUAAUGGCUCACCAAGGCGACGAUCAGUAGCUGGUCUGAGAGGAUGAUCAGCCACAUUGGGACUGAGACACGGCCCAAAAUCCUACGGGAGGCAGCAGUGGGGAAUCUUGCGCAAUGGGCGAAAGCCUGACGCAGCCAUGCCGCGUGAAUGAUGAAGGUCUUAGGAUUGUAAAAUUCUUUCACCGGGGACGAUAAUGACGGUACCCGGAGAAGAAGCCCUGGCUAACUUCGUG
rnacentral:rRNA from 1 species